GCCAAAUUGUGUCCUAAACAUAUAAAAUUUUAGCCAGAUGAUUCGAGGAGGUGCAAAGAGUGGUUUGUUGAGAACUAUCAAAUUCCAGGAGUGGUUGGAUGCAUUGAUGGCACCCACAUUGGACUACAAAAGCCCACGGUCAACGAGCACAUGUAUUUCAACAGGAAGGGUUUUCAUAGCAUAAAUGCGAUGUUGGUGAGUUUUUUAAUAAAGAGAUGGAAUGUUACUUUAAGGUUGUUUCUGUUAGAUUUGCGACCACACUACGAAAAUUCUCGCAAUAAACUGCCAAUAUGGGGGUGCAGCCCACGACUCAUUCAUAUGGAAGCAUUCAAACGAACGAAUGGUUAUGGAACAUCGUUUUUUGCACAAUAGGAGUGACAAUGCCUGGCUGCUAGGGGACUCUGGAUAUCCACUUGAGCCGUGGUGCAUAACACCGUACAGAAAUCCAUCGGACGGAUCAGGUGAAGCAAGGUUCAAUGAAAUUCAUUCCAAGGCA